rnacentral:lncRNA from 1 species
AUCCUUCGCCGACUAAUCAUCAAUUGAUCCCACCAUAUGCUUGCAUAAUCCGUGAACUCAACUACUGUCAAUUUCACCUUUUUCUCAUUUGAAUAGUUGUGACAAUCAAACACAUGUUCAACUUUUCUCUCCCAUUCCAAGUAAAGUUCGGGAUCAUUCUUUCCUUGAAAGAUAGGAAUCUUCAUCUUGAUGCUGCCCAGAUUAUUAUCUUUUGAAUCAUCGGCCUUCUUUCCCCUUCUAGAGUUAGAUUCAUAAUCUAAAUCUUCUUCAUCAUCUUCAAACAUCCGCCCCCUCAAAGGUUUGAUUCUGCUU